GAUGAACGCUAGCGAUAGGCCUAACACAUGCAAGUCGAGGGGCAUCACAUGAAGUAGCAAUACGGAUGGUGGCGACCGGCGCACGGGUGAGUAACACGUAUGUAACUUGCCUCAUUCAACGGGAUAGCCCGGGGAAACCCGGAUUAAUAUCGUAUAACAUCGGGACAGGCAUCUGUUUUGAUUGAAAGAUUCAUCGGAAUGAGAUAGACAUGCGUAUGAUUAGCUUGUUGGCGGGGUAACGGCCCACCAAGGCGAUGAUCAUUAGGGGUCCUGAGAGGGUGAUCCCCCACACUGGUACUGAGACACGGACCAGACUCCUACGGGAGGCAGCAGUGAGGAAUAUUGGUCAAUGGACGCAAGUCUGAACCAGCCACGUCGCGUGAAGGAAGACGGCCCUACGGGUUGUAAACUUCUUUUAUACGGGAAUAAAGUGCCCCACGCGUGGGUUUUGCAUGUACCGUAUGAAUAAGGAUCGGCUAACUCCGUGCCAGC
rnacentral:rRNA from 1 species